AGAGUUUGAUCAUGGCUCAGAAUGAACGCUGGAGGCAGGCCUAACACAUGCAAGUCGAACGGAUCCUUCGGGAUUACUGGCGGACGGGUGAGUAACGCGUGGGAACAUACCCUUUGGUACGGAAUAGCCUCGGGAAACUGGGAGUAAUACCGUAUGUGGUCGAGAGACGAAAGAUUUAUCGCCAAAGGAUUGGCCCGCGUUGGAUUAGGUAGUUGGUGGGGUAAUGGCCUACCAAGCCGACGAUCCAUAGCUGGUUUGAGAGGAUGAUCAGCCACACUGGGACUGAGACACGGCCCAGACUCCUACGGGAGGCAGCAGUGGGGAAUCUUAGACAAUGGGGGAWACCUGAUCUAGCCAUGCCGCGUGAUCGAUGAAGGCCUUAGGGUUGUKDAKKKCUUUKAGG
rnacentral:rRNA from 1 species